CCUACGGGAGGCAGCAGUGAGGAAUAUUGGUCAAUGGCCAUAAGUCUGAACCAGCCAAGUAGCGUGAAGGAUGACUGCUCUAUGGUUUGUAAACUUCUUUUAUAUGGGAAUAAAGUUAUCCACGUGUGGGAUUUUGUAUGUACCAUAUGAAUAAGCAUCGGCUAACUCCGUGCCAGCAGCCGCGGUAAUACGGAGGAUGCGAGCGUUAUCCGGAUUUAUUGGGUUUAAAGGGUGCGUAGGUUGUUUGUUAAGUCAGUUGUGAAAGUUUGUGGCUCAACCGUAAAAUUGCAGUUGAAACUGGAAGACUUGAGUACAGUAGAGGUGGGCGGAAUGCGUGGUGUAGCGGUGAAAUGCUUAGAUAUCACGAAGAACUCCGAUUGCGAAGGCAGCUCACUAGACUACAACUGACACUGAAGCUCGAAAGUGUGGGUAUCAAACAGGAUUAGAUACCCUAGUAGUC
rnacentral:rRNA from 1 species